UACCACUGGGAAAGCACAAGGAGUCCUGAGGAGAGGCAAAGGGAGGGAUACAGGAACGUGGUUAAGUGUCUGAUGAUAUUGAACCAUAGCAGGAAAUGAACGAAAGGAUAUUCUUGUCUGGACUUUGGUCAUUCCCAUCUGUGAGGAAGCAAACACUCCCUCACUAACAUUUGUUUCUUUGUUAAGAAAGACCUGGAGGCCAUCCUGUGCCAGUGCUCAAAGGGGGAGCAUGCCUCCAAGCUGCUGCUUAUGUGUUCUGAAGUCAUGACCCGGUUGGCCACACUAGUUUGGGAAGGCAGGCAAUCAGCUAUAAAUGACUGGGAAGAGAAGGG